GUGGGUGUAGUUCAGUUGGUUAGAGCGUCAGAUUGUGGUUCUGAAUGUCGUGGGUUCGAGUCCCACCAUCCACC
rnacentral:tRNA from 2 species